UACGUAGGGGGCAAGCGUUGUCCGGAAUUAUUGGGCGUAAAGAGCGCGUAGGCGGUCCGAUAAGUCGGCUGUGAAAGUCAGGGGCUCAACCCUUGAAAGCCGGCCGAUACUGUCGGACUAGAGUCCGGAAGAGGCGAGUGGAAUUCCCGGUGUAGCGGUGAAAUGCGCAGAUAUCAGGAGGAACACCAGCGGCGAAGGCGGCGCUCUGGGCCGGUACUGACACUGAGGAGCGAAAGCGUGGGUAGCAAACAGG
rnacentral:rRNA from 1 species